UCAAACUUGGUCAUUUAGAGGAAGUAAAAGUCGUAACAAGGUUUCCGUAGGUGAACCUGCGGAAGGAUCAUUAUCGAGUACCGGGGUUUCUUCUUCAGAGCCCCUACUCCCACACCAUGUGUACGCACCUCUCGUUGCUUUGGCGGGCCGCGCUCGAAAGGGCGCGCUGGCCUUCCGGCCGGACAGCGCCCGCCAGAGGAUCAAUUUACAAAACUCUUGUUUUUUCAGUGAAGUCUGAGUAAACUUGUUAAUAAAGUUAAAACUUUCAACAACGGAUCUCUUGGUUCUGGCAUCGAUGAAGAACGCAGC
rnacentral:misc_RNA from 1 species